rnacentral:misc_RNA from 1 species
AAGUCGUAACAAGGUUUCCGUAGGUGAACCUGCGGAAGGAUCAUUAGCAUACGCGUUGACCCGUGUGAUUAAAAAUCUCUCGGGUCCAACCGCGCCAAACCAUGUGAACUUGGAAUGUAUAUAGCUGUGCGGUGAGGGGGGGCUGAUGAGGGAGUUUGUUCUCUUUCGGAUGUGUUCCGCGCCGCAUGGUCAACUAAACCUGUAACUUUUAAUUACACAAACAAAACCAUAUAACUAAAUACACAACUUUUAACAAUGGAUCUCUUGGCUCUG